CGCGGUGAACAUAUCGAAAGGGUCACACCUGUUCCCAUCCCGAACACAGAAGUUAAGCCUUUCGAGCCGAUGAUAGUGCCCACAAGCGUGAAAGUAGGUAUCGCCGCGU
rnacentral:rRNA from 1 species